rfam:Dipodomys ordii contig_86991, whole genome shotgun sequence.
GUAGCUCAGUGGUAGAGUGCUUGCCUUGCAUGCAUGAGGUCCUGGGUUCGAUUCCUCAGC